rnacentral:rRNA from 1 species
AUUGAACGCUGGCGGCAUGCCUUACACAUGCAAGUCGAACGGUAACGCGGGGCAACCUGGCGACGAGUGGCGAACGGGUGAGUAAUGCAUCGGAACGUGCCUGGUAGUGGGGGAUAACUGCUCGAAAGAGCAGCUAAUACCGCAUACGACCUGAGGGGGAAAGGGGGGGAUCGCAAGACCUCUCGCUAUCAGAGCGGCCGAUGUCGGAUUAGCUAGUUGGUGGGGUAAAGGCCCACCAAGGCGACGAUCCGUAGCUGGUCUGAGAGGACGACCAGCCACACUGGGACUGAGACACGGCCCAGACUCCUACGGGAGGCAGCAGUGGGGAAUUUUGGACAAUGGACGCAAGUCUGAUCCAGCCAUGCCGCGUGCGGGAAGAAGGCCUUCGGGUUGUAAACCGCUUUUGUCAGGGAAGAAAUCUUCUGGGUUAAUACCUCGGGAGGAUGACGGUACCUGAAGAAUAAGCACCGGCUAACUACGUGCCAGCAGCCGCGGUAACAC